AAGCACACAAUUCUAUUUAAAAACAUUUUGAUAAAUGAAUAUUCGCUUCUGAAUCAUUUGUGAUAAGUUUCGUAUAACUUUCAGGAUAACUUCAAUGGUUUGAACAGACCUCCAAGGAAGCAGCAACUGACCAAUCAGAAGACAUUUUUUCAGCAGUCAAUAAGACAUUCAGAUUUAUUUAUAAAUCAUUUGUUUAUUAAGUAACUAGUGGCGUGUGUGUGUGUGCACUCACCAGAGGGCAUAUGUGUGUGUGUGUGUGUGUGUGUGUGUACACCAGAGGGCAUGUAUGUGUGUGCAUAUGUAUGUGUGUGUGUAUUGUUGUUCUAUGGUCAUGUACUUUAUUAUACAUUUGACAUGACUCAAUAUUUCAAUAAUUCAAAAAUAGUUUUUAAAUCACAAAAUAUAUUUUAAGUAAUCAUUUUAACAACUACUGUACACUAUGUGACAACAGAUAUAAGUCUCAUAAUGUCUAAUAGUAGGUAAACAUUCAAACUUCCAUACAGUGAGGUCAUCCUAAACCUCAGCACUAUAACUACAGAAGAUGUGUGGAGCUGGAAGAAAAGCAAAACUGUUUCUUACUGGCCACCAUAUUUGUCUACACUGUCAAACAUUUUAGUCUACAACCAUGAAUAACUUAAACAGCAACAGAAAAACUGAGCUAGACAAAGCAUUACUGAAUUGUAUCUUGACAAUAUUACACUAUUUUCCAAAAGUAGCUAACUUUCCAAGUAUAUUUUUAGAAAACUUGGUAAGACUAACACAUUUUUAAGGGAA